rnacentral:rRNA from 1 species
UACGUAGGGUGCAAGCGUUGUCCGGAAUUAUUGGGCGUAAAGAGCUCGUAGCGGUUGUCGCGUCGAAUGUGAAAACCCGGGCUCAACUCCGGGCCUGCAUUCGAUACGGGCAGACUAGAGUUCGGUAGGGGAGACUGGAAUUCCUGGUGUAGCGGUGAAAUGCGCAGAUAUCAGGAGGAACACCGAUGGCGAAGGCAGGUCGACUGGGCCGCAACUGACGCUGAGGAGCGAAAGCAUGGGAGCGAACAGG